CCUGACUUAACGUUUUUUCUAUUCACACAUAACGUGUGAGUGAAACGACUCUCUUUACGCUUCCGUUUGUUGACAACAUGAAGUUCAAUGUAUAACAAUUAAAACAUUAGAAUGCUAACCAAGUAAAAACUUAGGAUGAGGUCAGUUUAUUUCAAUCUACAUUUUUCUCUAUUCUCCACG